GAACGUCGUGAGACAGUUCGGUCCCUAUCUGCCGUGGGUGUCGGAAAAUUGAGAGGAGCUGCCCCUAGUACGAGAGGACCGGGGUGGACGUAUCUCUGGUGGACCUGUUGUUGCGCCAGCAGCAUAGCAGGGUAGCUAUAUACGGACGGGAUAACCGCUGAAUGCAUCUAAGCGGGAAGCCCCCCUCAAAACCAGUUUUCCCUUGAGAGUCGAGGAAGACCACCUCGUUGAUAGGCCAGGUGUGGAAGUGUGGUGACACAUGAAGCUGACUGGUACUAAUUACUCGAUAGGCUUGAUC
rnacentral:rRNA from 1 species